rnacentral:rRNA from 1 species
UACGAAGGGGGCAAGCGUUGUUCGGAAUUACUGGGCGUAAAGGGCGCGUAGGCGGCUUAUCAAGUCAGGCGUGAAAUUCCCGGGCUCAACCUGGGGGCUGCGCUUGAUACUGAUUGGCUUGAAUGCGGGAGAGGAGAGUGGAAUUCCCAGUGUAGAGGUGAAAUUCGUAGAUAUUGGGAAGAACACCGGUGGCGAAGGCGGCUCUCUGGACCGAGACUGACGCUGAGGAGCGAAAGCCAGGGGAGCAAACGGG